rnacentral:rRNA from 1 species
UGAGGAAUAUUGGUCAAUGGGGGCAACCCUGAACCAGCCAUGCCGCGUGAAGGAUGAAGGCCUUAUGGGUUGUAAACUUCUUUUAUAUGGGGCGAACCGUUUUUACGUGUAAAGACCUGACAGUACCAUAUGAAUAAGCAUCGGCUAACUCCGUGCCAGCAGCCGCGGUAAUACGGAGGAUGCAAGCGUUAUCCGGAUUCACUGGGUUUAAAGGGUGAGUAGGCGGGUUGGUAAGUCAGUGGUGAAAGUCUGUCGCUUAACGACAGGAAUGCCAUUGAUACUGCUGAUCUUGAGUUCAGUUGAGGCAGGCGGAAUGUGCAGUGUAGCGGUGAAAUGCUUAGAUAUUGCACAGAACACCGAUUGCGGAGGCAGCUUGCUAAGCUGAUACUGACGCUGAGUC